rnacentral:rRNA from 1 species
CGUCAGCUCGUGUCGUGAGAUGUCGGGUUAAGUCCCGCAACGAGCGCAACCCUUAAGCUUAGUUGCCAUCAUUAAGUUGGGCACUCUAAGUUGACUGCCGGUGACAAACCGGAGGAAGGUGGGGAUGACGUCAAAUCAUCAUGCCCCUUAUGAUUUGGGCUACACACGUGCUACAAUGGACAAUACAAAGGGCAGCGAAACCGCGAGGUCAAGCAAAUCCCAUAAAGUUGUUCUCAGUUCGGAUUGUAGUCUGCAACUCGACUACAUGAAGCUGGAAUCGCUAGUAAUCGUAGAUCAGCAUGCUACGGUGAAUACGUUCCCGGGUCUUGUACACACCGCCCGUCACACCACGAGAGUUUGUAACACCCGAAGCCGGUGGAGUAACCUUUUAGGAGCUAGCCGUCGAAGGUGGGACAAAUGAUUGGGGUGAAGUCGUAACAAGGUAGCCGUAUCGGAAGGUGCGGCU